rnacentral:rRNA from 1 species
UACGGAAGGCAGCAGUGGGGAAUAUUGCACAAUGGGCGCAAGCCUGAUGCAGCCAUGCCGCGUGUAUGAAGAAGGCCUUCGGGUUGUAAAGUACUUUCAGUCGUGAGGAAGGUGUUAAGGUUAAUAACCUUAGCAAUUGACGUUAGCGACAGAAGAAGCACCGGCUAACUCCGUGCCAGCAGCCGCGGUAAUACGGAGGGUGCGAGCGUUAAUCGGAAUUACUGGGCGUAAAGGGCACGCGGGCGGUUAAUUAAGUUGGAUGUGAAAUCCCCGGGCUUAACCUGGGAAUGGCAUUCAAGACUGGUUAGCUAGAGUCUUGUAGAGGGGGUAGAAUUCCAUGUGUAGCGGUGAAAUGCGUAGAGAUGUGGAGGAAUACCGGUGGCGAAGGCGGCCCCUGGACAAAGACUGACGCUCAUGUGCGAAAGCGUGGGGAGCAAACGAGGAUUAGAUACC